rnacentral:rRNA from 1 species
CGGCGUGCUUAACACAUGCAAGUCGAACGGAAAGGCUCCAGCUUGCUGGGGUGCUCGAGUGGCGAACGGGUGAGUAACACGUAAGUGAUCUGCCCUGCACUGGGGGAUAAGCUUGGGAAACUGGGUCUAAUACCCUAUAGGACCGCAUCGUGGUUGGUGUGGUGGAAAGGUUUUUCUGGUGUGGGAUGAGCUUGCGGCCUAUCAGCUUGUUGGUGGGGUAAUGGCCUACCAAGGCGGCGACGGGUAGCCGGCCUGAGAGGGUGUGCGGCCACAUUGGGACUGAGAUACGGCCCAGACUCCUACGGGAGGCAGCAGUGGGGAAUUUUGCACAAUGGGCGGAAGCCUGAUGCAGCGACGCCGUGUGGGGGAUGAAGGCCUUCGGGUUGUAAACUCCUUUCGUCAGGGACGAAGUUUUUUUGACGGUACCUGGAUAAGAAGCACCGGCUAACUACGUGCCAGCAGCCGCGGUAAUACGUAGGGUGCGAGCGUUGUCCGGAUUU